CCUACGGGAGGCAGCAGUGAGGAAUAUUGGUCAAUGGCCGUAAGGCUGAACCAGCCAAGUCGCGUGCAGGAAGAAGGAUCUAUGGUUUGUAAACUUCUUUUAUAGGGGAAUAAAGGUAUCCACGUGUGGAUAUUUGCAUGUACCCUAUGAAUAAGCAUCGGCUAACUCCGUGCCAGCAGCCGCGGUAAUCCGGAGUAUGCGAGCGUUAUCCGGAUUUAGUGGGUUUAAAGGGUGCGUAGGUUGUUUUUUAAGUCAGCGGUGAAAGUUUGUGGCUCAACCAUAAAAUUGCCGUUGAAACUGGAAGACUUGAGUGUGUUUGAGGUAGGCGGAAUGCGUGGUGUAGCGGUGAAAUGCAUAGAUAUCACGCAGAAAUCCGAUUGCGAAGGCAGCUUACUAAGCCAUAACUGACACUGAAGCACGAAAGCGUGGGGAUCAAACAGGAUUAGAUACCCUGGUAGUC
rnacentral:rRNA from 1 species